GGUACCAUAUAGCUCAGUGGGAGAACAUCUGCUUUGCAUGCAGAAUGCAGAAGGUCCCAGGUUCAACCCCAGGCAUCUCCA